AUUGAACGUUGGCGGCACGCCUAAUACAUGCAAGUCGAACGAGAAAGCACUUCGGUGUGAGUACAGUGGCGGACGGGUGAGUAACGCGUAGGAAUCUACCUAGUAGUGGGGGACAACUCGAGGAAACUCGAGCUAAUACCGCAUACGCUCUUAGGAGGAAAGUGGGGGAUCUUCGGACCUCACGCUAUUAGAGGAGCCUGCGUUAGAUUAGCUUGUUGGUGAGGUAAAGGCUCACCAAGGCGACGAUCUAUAGCUGGUCUGAGAGGACGAUCAGCCACACUGGAACUGAGACACGGUCCAGACUCCUACGGGAGGCAGCAGUAGGGAAUCUUGGGCAAUGGGCGAAAGCCUGACCCAGCGAUGCCGCGUGUGCGAAGAAGGCCUUAGGGUUGUAAAGCACUUUCAGUCGUGAAGAAAAGCUACGAUUUAAUAUGUCGUGGUCUUGACGUUAGCGACAGAAGAAGUACCGGCUAACUCCGUGCCAGCAGCCGCGGUAAUACGGAGGGUACGAACGUUAAUCGGAAUUACUGGGCGUAAAGCGCGCGUAGGCGGUUUGAUAAGUGGGAUGUGAAAGCCCCGGGCUCAACCUGGGAACUGCAUUCCAAACUGUCAAACUAGAGUGUGGUAGAGGGCGGUAGAAUUUCCUGUGUAGCGGUGAAAUGCGUAGAUAUAGGAAGGAAUACCGAUGGCGAAGGCAGCCGCCU
rnacentral:rRNA from 1 species